rnacentral:rRNA from 3 species
ACCUAGGCUUACCAAUGGAUGUCUUGGCUCCUCACACGAUGAAGAACGUUGCAUAAUGUGUUAAGUAACUGGAGUUGCAAACAUUGUGACAAGUUAAUCUUUGAAUGCAAAUUGCGCUUAUCCUUACUCUCGGGUAAGGAUUGCAUGUAUGCCACAGUACUGCA